CCCUUAGAUGUUCUGGGCCGCACGCGUGUUACACUGGUGAAUACAGCGAGUGUCCAUUCCCUUGGCCGAAAGGUCUGGGUAAUCUUAUGAAAGUUCAUCGUGACAGGGAUUGAUCAUUGAAAUUAUUAAUCUUGAACGAGGAAUUCCUAGUAAACGCAGAUCAUCAAUCUGCAUUGAUUACGUCCCUGCCCUUUGUACACACCGCCCGUCGCACCUACCGAUUGGAUGGUCCGGUGAAGCCUCGGGAUUGUGGUUCUUGCCGCUUUAUUGUGGCGUGACCGCGAGAACUUGUCUAAACCUUAUCAUCUAGAGGAAGGUGAAGUCGUAACA
rnacentral:rRNA from 1 species